UGCCUGGUUGUCAGUAUAUCCAUUGACGUG
rnacentral:piRNA from 1 species